rnacentral:rRNA from 1 species
GACGACCUUUGGCGGCGCGCCUAACACAUGCAAGUCGAACGAGCGAGAGAGAGCUUGCUUUCUCGAGCGAGUGGCGAACGGGUGAGUAACGCGUGAGGAACCUGCCUCAAAGAGGGGGACAACAGUUGGAAACGACUGCUAAUACCGCAUAAGCCCACGACCCGGCAUCGGGUAGAGGGAAAAGGAGCAAUCCGCUUUGAGAUGGCCUCGCGUCCGAUUAGCUAGUUGGUGAGGUAAUGGCCCACCAAGGCGACGAUCGGUAGCCGGACUGAGAGGUUGAACGGCCACAUUAGGACUGAGACACGGCCCAGACUCCUACGGGAGGCAGCAGUGGGGAAUAUGGCACAAUGGGGGGAAACCCUGAUGCAGCGACGCCGCGUGGAGGAAGAAGGUCUUCCGGAUUGUAAACUCCUGUUGUUGAGGAAGAUAAUGACGGUACUCAACAAGGAAGUGACGGCUAACUACGUGCCAGCAGCCGCGGUAAAACGUAGGUCACAAGCGUUGUCCGGAAUUACUGGGUGUAAAGGGAGCGCAGGCGGGAAGACAAGUUGGAAGUGAAAUCCAUGGGCUCAACCCAUGAACUGCUUUCAAAACUGUUUUUCUUGAGUAGUGCAGAGGUAGGCGGAAUUCCCGGUGUAGCGGUGGAAUGCGUAGAUAUCGGGAGGAACACCAGUGGCGAAGGCGGCCUACUGGGCACCAACUGACGCUGAGGCUCGAAAGUGUGGGUAGCAAACAGGAUUAGAUACCCUGGUAGUCCACACUGUAAACGAUGAUUACUAGGUGUUGGAGGAUUGACCCCUUCAGUGCCGCAGUUAACACAAUAAGUAAUCCACCUGGGGAGUACGACCGCAAGGUUGAAACUCAAAGGAAUUGACGGGGGCCCGCACAAGCAGUGGAGUAUGUGGUUUUAUUCGACGCAACGCGAAGAACCUUACCAAGUCUUGACAUCCUGCGACGCACAUAGAAAUAUGUGUUUCCUUCGGGACGCAGAGACAGGUGGUGCAUGGUUGUCGUCAGCUCGUGUCGUGAGAUGUUGGGUUAAGUUCCGCAACGAGCGCAACCCUUAUGGUCAGUUACUACGCAAGAGGACUCUGGCCAGACUGCCGUUGACAAAACGGAGGAAGGUGGGGAUGACGUCAAAUCAUCAUGCCCUUUAUGACUUGGGCUACACACGUACUACAAUGGCGUUAAACAAAGAGAAGCAAGACCGCGAGGUGGAGCAAAACUCAGAAACAACGUCCCAGUUCGGACUGCAGGCUGCAACUCGCCUGCACGAAGUCGGAAUUGCUAGUAAUCGCAGAUCAGCAUGCUGCGGUGAAUACGUUCCCGGGCCUUGCACA